rnacentral:piRNA from 1 species
UAGUUUGGUAACUGUAUAUGGGAUGAAUC